rnacentral:rRNA from 1 species
UGAACGCUGGCGGCGUGCCUAAUACAUGCAAGUCGAGCGAACAGACGAGGAGCUUGCUCCCCUGACGUUAGCGGCGGACGGGUGAGUAACACGUGGAUAACCUACCUAUAAGACUGGGAUAACUUCGGGAAACCGGAGCUAAUACCGGAUAAUAUAUUGAACCGCAUGGUUCAAUAGUGAAAGACGGUUUUGCUGUCACUUAUAGAUGGAUCCGCGCCGCAUUAGCUAGUUGGUAAGGUAACGGCUUACCAAGGCAACGAUGCGUAGCCGACCUGAGAGGGUGAUCGGCCACACUGGAACUGGGACACGGUCCAGACUCCUACGGGAGGCAGCAGUAGGGAAUCUUCCGCAAUGGGCGAAAGCUUGACGGAGCAACGCCGCGUGAGUGAUGAAGGUCUUCGGAUCGUAAAACUCUGUUAUUAGGGAAGAACAAAUGUGUAAGUAACUAUGCACGUCUUGACGGUACCUAAUCAGAAAGCCACGGCUAACUACGUG